AACAGAUGAGUACAAGAAUUUAAGUUCCAGGGUCAUUAAUGCGUUCAGUGGUGAAAACAUGAUGGAAAUUUGUCCCACCGACGAGGUACUCACAAACACAGUUGAGUUCAGUUCUGGAGACGAGAUAACAGUUUCUUUUGACAUCAGAAGUUCAGUUUGUAACGAAACUGACCUGGCAGAAUCAAUGGCCUGUGUGUUCCUGGAAGUCAGGAUCUAUCUCUAUGAUGUUUAUAUAAAUGGAAUCCUAAUCAUAGCGGAUGCCUCAUGCCCAACCACCACUCCGGAACCAACCACCAC